rnacentral:rRNA from 1 species
AGGGAGUAGAAACGCGUAGGCGGGCGUGCCUAAUACAUGCAAGUCGAGCGAAUGGAUUAAGAGCUUGCUCUUAUGAAGUUAGGCGGCGGACGGGUGAGGUAACACGUGGGUAACUGACCCAUAAGACUGGGAGUAACUCCGGGAAACCGGGGCUAAUACCGGAUAACAUUUUGUAACCGCAUGGUUCGAAAUUGAAAGGCGGGCUUCGGCUGUCACUUAUGGAUGGACCCGCGUCGCAUUAGCUAGUUGGUGAGGUAACGGCUCACCAGGGCAACGAUGCGUAGCCGACCUGAGAGGGUGAUCGGCCACACUGGGACUGAGACACGGCCCAGACUCCUACGGGAGGCAGCAGUAGGGAAUCUUCCGCAAUGGACGAAAGUCUGACGGAGCAACGCCGCGUGAGUGCUGAAGGCUUUCGGGUCGUAAAACUCUGUUGUUAGGGAAGAACAAGUGCUAGUUGAAUAAGCUGGCACCUUGACGGUACCUAACCAGAAAGCCACGGCUAACUACGUG